rnacentral:rRNA from 1 species
ACUCCUACGGGAGGCAGCAGUGGGGAAUAUUGCACAAUGGGGGUAAAGCCAUCCGAUGCAGCCAUGCCGCGUGUGUGAAGAAGGCCAUUCGGGUUGGUAAAGACACUUUCAGUAGGGAGGAAGGUAGUGUAGUUAACACCUGCAUUAUUUGACGUACCUACAGAAGAAGCACCGGCUAACUCCGUGCCAGCAGCCGCGGUAAUACGGAGGGUGCGAGCGUUAAUCGGAAUUACUGGGCGUAAAGCGCAUGCAGGCGGCCCUGUUAAGUCAGAUGUGAAAGCCCGGGGCUUAACCUCGGAAUUGCAUUUGAAACUGGCAGACUAGAGUACUGUAGAGGGGGGUAGAAUUUCAGGUGUAGCGGUGAAAUGCGUAGAGAUCUGAAGGAAUACCGGUGGCGAAGGCGGCCCCCUGGACAGAUACUGACACUCAGAUGCGAAAGCGUGGGGAGCAAACAGGAUUAGAUACCCUGGUAGGAUAGCGU